rnacentral:rRNA from 1 species
UUAGUACGGCGAGUGAAGCGGUAAAAGCUCAAAUUUGAAAUCUGGUACUUUCAGUGCCCGAGUUGUAAUUUGUAGAAUUUGUCUUUGAUUAGGUCCUUGUCUAUGUUCCUUGGAACAGGACGUCAUAGAGGGUGAGAAUCCCGUUUGGCGAGGAUACCUUUUCUCUGUAAGACUUUUUCGAAGAGUCGAGUUGUUUGGGAAUGCAGCUCAAAGUGGGUGGUAAAUUCCAUCUAAAGCUAAAUAUUGGCGAGAGACCGAUAGCGAACAAGUACAGUGAUGGAAAGAUGAAAAGAACUUUGAAAAGAGAGUGAAAAAGUACGUGAAAUUGUUGAAAGGGAAGGGCAUUUGAUCAGACAUGGUGUUUUUUGCAUGCACUCGCCUCUCGUGGGCUUGGGCCUCUCAAAAAUUUCACUGGGCCAACAUCAAUUCUGGCAGCAGGAUAAAUCAUUAAGAAUGUAGCUACUUCGGUAGUGUUAUAGCUUUUUGGAAUACUGUUAGCCGGGAUUGAGGACUGCGCUUCGGCAAGGAUGUUGGCAUAAUGGUUAAAUGCCGCCCGUCUUGAAACACGGAACCA